UACGUAGGGUGCGAGCGUUGUCCGGAAUUAUUGGGCGUAAAGAGCUUGUAGGUGGUUUGUCGCGUCUGCUGUGAAAAUCCGAGGCUCAACCUCGGACUUGCAGUGGGUACGGGCAGACUAGAGUGUGGUAGGGGAGACUGGAAUUCCUGGUGUAGCGGUGGAAUGCGCAGAUAUCAGGAGGAACACCGGUGGCGAAGGCGGUUCUCUGGGCCUGUACUGACGCUGGAGGAGCGAAAGCGUGGGGAGCGAACAGG
rnacentral:rRNA from 1 species